UGAUUAUUGCGGAGGUGUUAUACCCGAUCCCUUUCCGAACUCGGAAGUCAAGCCCUCUAGCGCCGAUGAUACUGCAUCUCUAAGGUGCGGGAAAGUAGGUCGUCACCAGGC
rnacentral:rRNA from 1 species